ACGGGAGGCAGCAGUAGGGAAUUUUCGGCAAUGGGCGGAAGCCUGACCGAGCAACGCCGCGUGAUCGAGAAGUAUUUCGGUAUGUAAAGAUCUUUUAUUUGGGACGAAAAGACAGAUUGACGGUACCAAAUGAAUAAGCCCCGGCUAACUAUGUGCCAGCGGCCGCGGUAAUACAUAGGGGGCAAGCGUUAUCCGGAAUUAUUGGGCGUAAAGGGUGCGUAGGCGGCAAUGAAAGUCUUCGGUUAAAAUGCUAGGCUCAACCUAGUAGUGCCAAAGAAACUACAUAGCUAGAGUGUGGUAGAGGUGAGUGGAACUCCAUGUGUAGCGGUAAAAUGCGUAAAUAUAUGGAAGAACACCAGUGGCGAAGGCGGCUCACUAGACCGAUACUGACGCUGAGGCACGAAAGCGUGGGGAGCAAACAGGAUUAGAUACCCUGGUA
rnacentral:rRNA from 1 species